GGGGCUGUAACUCAGUGGUAGAGUGCCUCGUUUGCAUUAUCAAUUCAGUGAUUCUGUACGUAUGGAAGAUGUUGAAAUACAAAUAAAUGCUCGAUGAAGUCCAGGGUUCGACUCCCUGCCGCUCCA
rfam:Sclerotinia sclerotiorum 1980 scaffold_13 genomic scaffold, whole genome shotgun sequence.